GUUUAAUUUAAUAAUUACUAAAACCAGUAGUUCGAAAGAUAUAUUUAAAAAUAAAAGAUAAAAAUCCAAAAAAUUAAUUAUCUAUUAACGUGGAUUUGGACGACAAUAGGUUUUUAGUUUGUGAUGUUUCAUGUGAUGAUCAUUUUCAUGUUCAUCGUCUUUGAAUUGACAUGAGGAUAUCUAUGGAAAAGUAACUAAUCUGAAAGUAAGCCAACAUAUCGUUUGUCCUUUGUGUGCUAAAGAAAAGAUUUUCUUUUCGCAUCGUGAGGAAGUAUUACAUCAAUUAAAAAAUGUUAGGAAGUUGAUUACUUGUCAUGGAAAAGUAUACCAAUGGAAAUUAUUUGUUAAAGAAGUAUAAUUCUAAGGGUUUUAAGAAUAAAUUGGUUGAACCCAAAAUCUGGAGGAAGUACCUAUAUCCAUACACAGAAUAUGCCCAUUAAGAAUACUAGUCCAAAUUUGCUUUAAUGGAACGAUUAGGGCCCGAUAUAUUUGAAACUCAUGUUGGACAUAGUAUUGAGUUGGGUAGAAUAUUAUUCUACGUUAAGUGAGGAUAUCAGAUACCUAUUAUUGUACUGUAUUUUAAUAUAUACAUUAGAAUUG